AAAAGGACGAAGGUGUUCCCUAUUCUGCCUACCACGCACUACGACUAACUUUCGUCGUUCUCGUCGUACUACCGUCCCGCAUCGCUGGCACACAAAUGGGCCAAGCCCAACAAAUCACUCUCACCCUCCCCUCAAAAAAAAGUCAACUCGCAUUCCCUGGUCUUGUCUUCUCCCCACUCUCCUCACCUGAUCCUAGACCUAGGUCCGUUCCCCGCCGGCCGCCACAUCGUGGAGUCGGGAAGAGCGUGGAGACGCACACCACGGAACUGGAGGAGGCCGUAGGCGGUGAUAUCCAUAGGAUUCACAUGGGCACGUCGUCCUCCAAGGGAUCCAUGGACACCGCAGUGUCUCCUACCGCCGAUUCCUCCUCCGUGAGUUCCAUGAUCGCCGCCUGCAUGCGCUGAAGCUCUGCGAUGAGACCGAAUCUGCGGCCCACGAUGCUGCGGCCGGAAUAUCUCCCAGAGGCGGAGCAGGUGGGGGCAAACCCUGAGGGAGAUGGGAUCCCGCGCCCGGAGAGGGACCGGCGGUGGGCGCUGCACUGCAUCGUCGCCUCCCUCCCUUGCCGCGCUCCACUGCAUCGCCGCCUACUUCUCUCUCCACCGCUGUAACCGCCGGUUCCCCUAACCGCAUGAUCUCCGUGUGAUCGAAAGUGAAGAACUGUUUAUAGCAUCGAGUGUGGGCUUGGGGGCUCCGAUGUCGUCAUCCAUCGCAUCCAUUGUCUUCAAGAUGAUCGGCAUCAGCGUUUGCAAGUGCAGCCUCCGCGCAGGUAACACACACGCAUUUAGUGUCACAGUUUCAGUUACAUAAAGCUAUUGUGUUAGUGCUCAUGGGGUCAUGCCUAGAUCAGGCGCUUCCAGUACUUCAUUGGCUUGCAGAGUACUUCAGAAGAGGCCGGGAGAAUGCCUACAGAUGGAAGCCUCUAUCAGAUCGUGAUUUGUUAUACUUCUUGGAAAAUACUUGCUGGUUUGUAUGCUGAUUAUUUGAAUGGAGGUAUGCAAGAUGUUCUUUGCAAGAGGAAUCAUUGCCAGCUUUUACGGUGGUUAGGUGAACCCAUAUCGUUAGAAUUGUCUUCAGAAGGUAUACACUAUCUUUCAGGUGCGUAUGUUGUACAAAAUUGUAACAUGGUCUUUCUAGAUUCAUGGAUUCACUAUGUUGGUGUUCUAGAAAGUAUGAUACAUCUCCCAGAACUCAACAUGGAGCAAAAUUGCGUAGGUUAGUUUCUGUUGGACAUACAUAUGCUUCUCUGAAUAUUUAGAUGUUGCAGUCAGUGGUUAAGUUAGCUUGGUGGAUCAAUGAUUGGGUAUUCAUCAAGAGUAUUUUGCACCGUUUGUCAUAUUUUCAGCCCCGUUUCUCUCUGUCGGGGGUGGGUACUGCAGCCCUGUCGUCAGCGUUAUGUGGAGGGGGCAACGAGGACGAUGACGAGCAGUGGGACCAUUUUCUUAAUACAGACCAGUAAACGGUGCACCUAAAGAUUUUAUAAACUCAUUGAUUUUGGAAACAAUGGGAAGGUGUAUGUAAUGUACAAUGAUCUUCUCAUUCUCUCAUUUUUGUUUACUUCAUAUGGAGCAGGUAUUGUUUUGUCCAGUUAUGUGGGUCAGCUAUACUACAAGAUAUUCUUUUAAGUUAUGAUUCUAUGAAAAAAUUACCUGGAGCUAGCAUCUCAUGCACUAUCCUUUUUCUAUUUUCAAUAUGGCGGCGUCCAAUAUUGUAAUCAUUCUGCAAUUUACCAUGAUGAGUCUUCAUUUUGCAUAUUGAUAUGCAGUGUUGAUUUCCUUGUUGCGGAAUCGCAAUCAUGGAAAAUUUCAUGGGGAUGAUAUUUGUCAUUAUUUAUGUUUGAUUUCAUAUGAUUUCCAGAGCUUAUCAAUCAAUAAACACACAUUCUUAAAGGUUCGAGAAUGAGCAAUUUAAGGACAAAAUGAACGAAGCUACCAGAUAUAUGAACAUAAAUAAACUUGGUGAAGACAGGUAGAACAACUAACUUGGCGAAGACAGGUAGAACUUGCACGCGGAUGUGAGGUUGAAGGGGAGCCGGAGAGUGAGAAAUCCAAGGAGAAGGCGCCUGUGACUGGCGGCGGAGCAGGGGCGAGGACAAGCUCGAGGUCUUCUGGGGCGACGGAGAAGGCGCCCUCGCCUUGGCCGUGCAAAGAUGCUUCCACUGACCAUGACUAAACUGCAGGAGAUGGAGUUCUCGGUUCUCCAUUCUCAUCAAGAUUCUCAUUGGUAUUCCGUCUUUUCCUCAUUGGGAGAGAAUGCUCUGUUUCUUGCUGGUUCUAGGUGUUCAUUGAUCUCUAUAUGGAAAGUUUAUAGCUCGUUUGGAUUUCCUGGUUACUGGUCAUGGUUACUGAUCAUUAGGUUUGUUCAUGGAGAGAAUUUAACAUGCUCGUUUCUUCAUGGCUGUUGGAGUUUGCUUGCGUCAAAAGCACCAACCGGUUAUGGUUUUGCGGAAUCAAGAAAGAAAGUUAGCGCUUGUAGGCCCUAUACACUAAGCUUUCAGUUUUCAAGUGAAUCUGGUUCUUGAUAUGUUGUCUAGCUGCACAGAAGUUAGUAUCGGAUGGGUUCAGAAUUCCCUUAGUUUAGACUGAAUGCUUAUUAGUUGGAAUGAGUCCACCGUAAGUAGUUGUCAAUUAGGGUAGACAGGAUGGGCGAUCAAGAAUAGCCAGAUCCAUGUUCUCGAACGGAGGACUGCAAUGGCGAUGACGGUGCGGCGCCGGUGUCUGACGAUGAACCUACUAGGUGUGGUCUCUGAAGGCUGCCGAACACGGAACUGCGGCGGUCCUCGCACCUAUCAUGGAGAGGCAAGGGAGGGACUGGUCCCCGUUCGGUCUUCUCGGGAGAGUGGUGGAGCUCGAUAAAGUGGGUGAGCUCGAGAGAGUGAGGAGACGGUCAGCUUUACAUCGUCCACAUUCCUUUUCUACGAAGGGUUUCCAGAAAAAAAUGGUAGGACUUUCUUUCCUGCAAAGAGUUAGGAGCUCUUUUUCUAUGUUUGACACAGAAGGCUACAAUCUAGGCUAUCUCCGGAUAUUUAUGAAUAUCAAAUGCUUGUCUCCGGAUAUUUAUGAAUAUCAAAGUGUUGUUUGGACUAAUGAGAAAAAAAGUAUUUCUUCAGUUAUACCUGUGUUUGCAGCAUCCACAUUUUGUGAGACAGUAAUCUAUCCAAAAGAAAAGGUUGUUUAGUUAACAAUUAUGUUUGCAGCAUUUUAGUGAAGAAGUAGAUACUAAAUGCUUGUGUUAGCAAUGAUUAUAGCUUAUAUGAUUUACACAUAUUUUAGGAACUAUUGCAAGGCCUAGCAGUGGAAGCCUGGUGGAGGGUUUGGUAAAUGGCAGAGGCAUCAGAGGCUUCAGCGAGGACAUGAGACACCAGGUUUUCUCAGAGAAGUUGUAUGCAUCAAAUUUAUUGAAUGCGAUAGAGAAUUAAUUUGAAAGUAAGUUUCUUACGGUACGACGUCCAGCUAUUCAUAAUGGAUUCAAGAGUACAAGAAGCAUCAAGGGUCGCGAGAUUAAAGAAGGUAUCAAUGAAAUUUUGAAGAUAAGAUGAUUAGGAUGUAAGUGAUGUGAUGCUAUGUAGGGAGGUAAGGAAAGGAUUUUUGACCAAACAGAAAUGAAGGGAGGUAGAAAGUGGGAAGGUUGAGAGUGGGGAGGCAGGCGAGAGGCACUAAUAGGUGUGAGUUUCUUUUAUUUUUUCGCAGUCAUGACCCAAGGAAAGUUUCAUGUUAAUUAAGGCUUAAAAAGAAAGUAUGGUUAUGCAUAUAUGUGGCUGCAAAAUUAUAGCUCUGUGGCUGCAAAAUUACGGCUUCUCAAUAUGUAUCAGUAUCUUAAAUGCAUUUGAAUACUCGUUGCUAGAAAA